AGAGCAUAUGGUGGAUGCCUUGGCGCAGAGAGGCGAUGAAGGACGUGGCUAGCUGCGAUAAGCUUCGGGGAGUCGCUAAACAGACUUUGAUCCGGAGAUUUCCGAAUGGGGAAACCCACCUCGAUGAAGUCGAGCUAUCUUCAUCUGAAUACAUAGGGUGAAGAAGUGAACCCAGGGAAGUGAACCAUCUCAGUACCUGGAGGAAUAGAAAACAAUAGUGAUUCCCUGAGUAGCGGCGAGCGAACGGGGAACAGCCCAAACCGCAAUCAUGUCAAGCUUGUGUGCGUUGUGUUUGCGGUGUUGCGGGGCCUAACUUGAUUCUGGCACAACAGGAUCGAAGAGUUACAAAAGACAAUCUUAACCGAAUACUUUGGAAAGAGUAACCAUAGGAGGUGACAGUCCUGUAGGUGAAAAGCUUGUCUCUCUUUUGUUGGGUUCCCAAGUACCACGGGACACGAGAAAUCUUGUGGGAAUCCGGGAGGACCAUCUCCCAAGGCUAAAUACUACUCUGCGACCGAUAGUGAACCAGUACCGUGAGGGAAAGGUGAAAAGUACCCCUGUUAGGGGAGUGAAAUAGUACCUGAAACCGUAUGCUUACAAGCAGUCGGAGCUCUGGCUUGCCAGGGUGACGGCGUGCCUUUUGCAUAAUGAGCCGGCUAGUUAUUCUAUGCGGCAAGGUUAAGCUUGUUGACAAGCGGAGCCAUAGCGAAAGCGAGUCUGAAUAGGGCGUUAAGUCGUAUGGAAUAGACGCGAAGCUGAGUGAUCUAUCCUUGGCCAGGAUGAACAUCAGGUAACACUGAUGGGAGGUCCGAACCGCUACAGGUUGAAAACUGUUCGGAUGAGCUGAGGAUAGGGGCGAAAGACUAAUCAAACUCAGUGAUAGCUCGUUCUCUUCGAAAUAGCUUUAGGGCUAGCCUUACAUAUUGGUAAGAGAGGUAGAGCACUGGAUGGCCUAGGGCUUCGAAAGUUGUACCGAAUCCAACCAAACUCCGAAUUCUCUUAACCACAGUGUAGGAGUCAGACUGCCGGGGCUAAGCUCGGUAGUCGAGAGGGAAACAACCCAGACCGUCAGCUAAGGUCCCUAAAUGCAUGCUAAGUGGGCAAGGAAGUGAAGCCGCAAAGACAACCAGGAGGUUGGCUUAGAAGCAGCCAUCCUUUAAAGAAAGCGUAACAGCUCACUGGUCAAGUAUUUUUGCGCCGACAAUGUAACGGGGCUAAGCUUGCUACCGAAGCUACGGAUCCCCCUCGGGGGAUGGUAGAAGAGCAUUCUAAUCUGGCUGAAGCUUCGAUGUGAGUCGGAGUGGACGGAUUAGAAGAGACCCUGCCGGCAUGAGUAGCGAGAUUCCGGUAAAAACCCGGAACGCCGAAAAUCUAAGGUUUCCUGAGGAAGGCCAGUCCACUCAGGGUUAGUCGGUUCCUAAGCCGAGGCCGAAAGGCGUAGGCGAUGGACAGCAGGUCAACAUUCCUGCACCGCCUGAAAAACGUUUGUACGAUGGGGUGACGCAGAAGGAUAGGCAUACACACGAUUGGAAAUGUGUGGCCGCCAGGUAGGAGGAGCUUUUAGGUAAAUCCGGAAGCUCAUUAACUCCGAGCACGGCGGGGAAGAUUACCUUCGGGUUUUCCAACUUGUCGAAUCCAUGCUGCCAAGAAAAACCUCUAAGGAGUAUUUCAGGUGACCGUACCGUAAACCGACACAGGUAGAUGAGGAGAGAAUCCUAAGGCGAACGUGUAAACCCUCUUUAAGGAACUCGGCAAAUUAACCCCGUAACUUCGGAAUAAGGGGAGCCUCGUGUAGUGUGACCUUGCUUCGCGCGAGUAAGCACGAAGAGGCCGCAGAGAAAUGGCCCAGGCGACUGUUUACUAAAAACACAGGUCUCUGCAAAGUCAACAAAACGACGUAUAGGGACUGACACCUGCCCGGUGCCGGAAGGUUAAAGGAAAGGGUUAGCUUCUUCGGAAGCGAAGCUCUGAACUGAAGCCCCGGUAAACGGCGGCAGUAACUAUAACGGUCCUAAGGUAGCGAAAUUCCUUGUCGGGUAAGUGCCGACCCGCACGAAAGGUGCAACGACUUGGGCACUGUCUCGAAGAGGGGCACGGCGAAAUUGUAGUACCGGUGAAGAUGCCGGUUACCUGCCGUAGGACGGAAAGACCCCGGCACCUUAACUGCAGCCUAGCAUUGGAUUUUGGGUUAUUAUGUGCAGCAUAGGUGGGAGACUAUGAAGUUCUGACGCUAGUCAGGAUGGAGUCAUCGGUGAGAUACCACUCUUAAUAUUCUGGAGUUCUAACCUGCAGCCGUGAUCCGGCUGAGGAACAGUGUUAGGUGGGUAGUUUGACUGGGGCGGUCGCCUCCUAAAAUGUAACGGAGGCGUCCUAAGGUUCCCUCAGACUGUUUGGAAAUCAGUCGAAGAGUACAAAGGCAUAAGGGAGCUUGACUGUGAGACAUACAGGUCGAGCAGGUAGGAAACUAGGGCUUAGUGAUCCGGCGGUCCCGUAUGGAAGGGCCGUCGCUCAACGGAUAAAAGGUACGCCGGGGAUAACAGGCUAAUAGGGCCCAAGAGCUCAUAUCGACGGCCCUGUUUGGCACCUCGAUGUCGGCUCAUCGCAUCCUGGGGCUGUAGCCGGUCCCAAGGGUUGGGCUGUUCGCCCAUUAAAGCGGUACGUGAGCUGGGUUUAGAACGUCGCGAGACAGUUCGGUCCCUAUCCACGGUAGGCGGAGGAAAUUUGAGGGAGCCUGUUCCUAGUACGAAAGGACCGGAACGGACAAACCUAUGGUGUACCAGUUGUCCCGCCAGGGGCAUCGCUGGGUAGCUACGUUUGGUUGAGAUAACCGCUGAAAGCAUAUAAGCGGGAAACUCGUCCCAAGAUUAGAUUUCCCUCCCAAUAGGGCUAAAGGUCCCUUGU
rnacentral:rRNA from 1 species